rnacentral:lncRNA from 1 species
UGCUGCUGAGAAGAGGUAGUACUUCGAAGGACUAACCCUUUCGUACCAAGUAGGAAAGGAUGGACACCAGAAAAGGGUUGAAGUCCUGUGGAAAAUUGUCGAAGAAGCAGGACUCAGUAAGGAUGAACGUAUCGAGCCGGACCAGGUCAUAGACACCGGGUCGAGCAGGGGAUUCGUCUCGCUAACAUUUGACGAAGAGCGGCGCCCCUGCAUGCAAAUCGACCCCGAGCGAAGCAUCACAGGAAAACAGCUUAAACCAGGAAAGAGGAAGCCGAGGAGACACACGAGGGAGAGGGAUCCGUCGCCAUCCUCCAGCCGCGUGGAGGGUGAGGAGUAGACAGGCAGAUUAGACCCAACUACUCUGUGGAGACGACGUUGGACCAAUGGAGUUGACAGAACCUGAUGGCAUUAUUGUUAUAGGGGACGGAAAGAGAGUCAGAGAGAGGAGAGAACGAGAGAAAAAGAGAGUGCGCGUGCAACAGUACAGUCUACUUGGAAAACGUACCUGGACAAGCGAGAUACUUCUUCCUGCUGCUUCUUCCAUAAUUUUCCGCAGGACUUCAACCCUUUUUUGGGGUCCAUCCUUUCCUCCUUGGUAGGAAAGGGUUAGUCCUUUGAAAUAUUACAUAUUUUCAGCGGCCUUCGGAAAGAAGAAACAAUACUGUAUAUAGAUCUACAUACAAACACGCACACACACACACACACACACACACACACACACACACACACACACACACACACACACACACAUAUAUAUAUAUGCAUAUUUAAAGAUCCUCACUCUCUUCGUGGUUGGUGGAGGGCGACGGCGGCAGAAUCCUCCUCUUGUGUCUCUUUGCCUUUUCCUUUAAUGGGUUAGGCUUUUUUCUCUUCAGCUUUGUUUUUCAAGAGACCUGCUUCUUCCGUAACUUUCAGCAGGACAUCGGCUCUUCUCAAGAAAGAAAGAAAGAAAAAAAAAAAAGGAACAGAAAGAGAAAAUAUGUGUAUACAUGUACAUCCUAUAGCUAGAUAGGAUGAGUUAAGAAACAUGUGAACAUCAAGCUUAAAACAUGUGCUUCAAACCACUAAAGAAGCGUACUGUGCUUAUUUUCGCCUGUUAAUUCUUCUUGGCGUUGCGUUGAUAAUCCGUCAACUAGUAAUGGUAAUCAUGUAUUCCAAACGGCUAAAAGGCGUCAGGAAAAAACGUGGGCAUGUAAACCUUCUGAAAAUGUACUGUGAACGGGAUAAUCUGAAGGACUGACUGUAAUAAUUAGCUAGUUAAACUUUUUCCGGUGCAGUGUUUUUUUUUUUUUUUCUUGCGGGGAGGAGUAUUAAAUUAAUGUUAUAUUCUAAUUAAAUAUAAAAUUAUCCAAAGGACUGACUCAAAUAUUGGCUUAAUCACUGUUGACCAGGUAGUUUUUUCAAUUGCGUUCGUAGCCCCUCCAUUCCUCCACCGCAAGACCUAUCAGCUGUUUAUUCCCUUCUUUUGUUUUAGCUUUGUAAUUGAUUUCUUUAUAGAAGGGCCACACAUAGUAUUUUAUGGAUGUGUUGCGUAGGCAGGAUUUCCUGUUUGUUUUUUGUGAGCUUUUGUGUUGUGUGUGAUUAUUUUUGAUGACAGAAAUAAAUAUGAAUAA